rnacentral:lncRNA from 1 species
GUGGGCACCUUGGAACUCUGACAGGCAGGAAACAGAGUUGGGCAAGUGGCACCAUCAGUUCCUGGAGCUCCUGCAGGGAACCUGAACGUGUGUUUUUCCGGCUGUGGAGAAAACAAACCCCUGUGAUUUUGAGCCCCUUUUUCGGGAGCGAUGAUGUCGCAGCUUGAGGGGGAGUGUGGAUCUGCUGGAAGGCAGGAGGGCUCUGCAGAGGGACCUGCACAGGCUGGAUCCAUGGGCUCAUUCCAACGGGAUGAGGUUCCACAAGGCCAAGGGCCAAGGGCCAGGUCCUGCCCUUUGGCCACAACAACCCCAGACUGGCACAGAGGGGCUGGAGAGCAGCCAGGCAGGAAGGGAGCUGGGAGUGGGGAUGGACAGGGAGCUGAACAGGAGCCAGAGUGUGCCCAGGGGGACAAGAGGGCCAAUGGAUCCUGGCCUGGCUCAGGAACAGGGUGGCAGCAGGAGCAGGGAAGUGAUUCUGCCCCUGGACUCAGCACUGGUGAGGCCACCCCUGGAGUGCUGUGUCCAGCUCUGGGCCCUCAGCUCAGGAAGGACAUGGAGGGGCUGGAGCAGGUCCAGAGAAGAGCAACGAGGCUGGGGAAGGGACUGGAGCACAAGUGCUGUGAGGAGAGGCUGAGGGAGCUGGGGGGGCUCAGCCUGGAGAGGAGGAGGCUCAGGGGAGACCUCCUGACUCUGCAACUCCCUGACAGGAGGGGGGAGCCAGGUGGGGAUGGGGCUCUUCUCCCAGGAACCAGCAGUAGGACAAGAGGGCUGGGUCUUCAGCUGUGCCAGGGGAGGCUUAGGUUGGAUAUGGAAGGAAUUCUUUCCAUGAAGACUGAUCAGCCCUUGGAAUGGGCUGCCCAGGGAGGGGGUGGAGUCACUUCCCUGGAGGUGUUUAAGGACAGACUGGAUGUGGCAUCAGUGCCAUGGGCUGGGAACCACGGCGGGGUUGGAUCCAGGGUUGGACUUGCUGAUCUCAGAGGUCCUUUCCAACCCAGCUGAUUCUCUGAUGAGAGCUGAAUGCCAUGAGCUUUACCGGUGAGGGAGUCACUUUGGCAGGAGAACCAGCUCAGCCAAACCACAGCUUUGCCC